rnacentral:siRNA from 1 species
UUGCGGUGGCUCGAGCAACUCU